rnacentral:rRNA from 1 species
AGGAUGAACGCUAGCUACAGGCUUAACACAUGCAAGUCGAGGGGCAGCAUGGUCUUAGCUUGCUAAGGCCGAUGGCGACCGGCGCACGGGUGAGUAACGCGUAUCCAACCUGCCUUACACUCUUGGACAGCCUUCUGAAAGGGAGAUUAAUACAAGAUGUUAUCAUGAGUAAGCAUUUUCGCAUGAUUAAAGGUUUACCGGUGUAAGAUGGGGAUGCGUUCCAUUAGAUAGUAGGCGGGGUAACGGCCCACCUAGUCUUCGAUGGAUAGGGGUUCUGAGAGGAAGGUCCCCCACAUUGGAACUGAGACACGGUCCAAACUCCUACGGGAGGCAGCAGUGAGGAAUAUUGGUCAAUGGGCGAGAGCCUGAACCAGCCAAGUAGCGUGCAGGAUGACGGCCCUAUGGGUUGUAAACUGCUUUUAUAAGGGAAUAAAGUGGGAGUCGUGACUCUUUUUGCAUGUACCUUAUGAAUAAGGACCGGCUAAUUCCGUG